AUUGAACGCUGGCGGCAUGCCUUACACAUGCAAGUCGAACGGCAGCGGGGGAGAAGCUUGCUUUUCCUGCCGGCGAGUGGCGAACGGGUGAGUAAUACAUCGGAACGUGCCCUGUAGUGGGGGAUAACUAGUCGAAAGAUUAGCUAAUACCGCAUACGACCUGAGGGUGAAAGUGGGGGACCGCAAGGCCUCAUGCUAUAGGAGCGGCCGAUGUCUGAUUAGCUAGUUGGUGGGGUAAAGGCCUACCAAGGCGACGAUCAGUAGCUGGUCUGAGAGGACGAGCAGCCACACUGGGACGGGGACACGGCCCAGACUCCUACGUGAGGCAGCAGUGGGGAAUUUUGGACAAUGGGCGAAAGCCUGAUCCAGCAAUGCCGCGUGUGUGAAGAAGGCCUUCGGGUUGUAAAGCACUUUUGUCCGGAAAGAAAUGGCUCUGGUUAAUACCUGGGGUCGAUGACGGUACCGGAAGAAUAAGGACCGGCUAACUACGUGCCAGCAGCCGCAGUAA
rnacentral:rRNA from 1 species